rnacentral:rRNA from 1 species
CCCUUAGAUGUUCUGGGCCGCACGCGCGCUACACUGAUGCAUUCAACGAGUCUAAAACCUGGUCUGAUAGGGCUGGGUAAUCUUUUGAAUGUGCAUCGUGAUUGGGAUAGAUGAUUGCAAUUCUUCAUCUUCAACGAGGAAUGCCUAGUAAACGCAAGUCAUCAGCUUGCAUUGAUUACGUCCCUGCCCUUUGUACACACCGCCCGUCGCUCCUACCGAUUGAAUGUUCCGAUGAAUACCAUGGACUGAGAGUAUGAAUGGGUUCGCCUAUUUCUGCUUCUCGGGAAGUGGAGUAAAUCUUAACAUUUAGAGGGAGGAGAAGUCGUAACA